AUGAACGCUAGCUACAGGCUUAACACAUGCAAGUCGAGGGGCAGCAUGGUCUUAGCUUGCUAAGGCCGAUGGCGACCGGCGCACGGGUGAGUAACACGUAUCCAACCUGCCGUCUACUCUUGGACAGCCUUCUGAAAGGAAGAUUAAUACAAGAUGGCAUCAUGAGUCCGCAUGUUCACAUGAUUAAAGGUAUUCCGGUAGACGAUGGGGAUGCGUUCCAUUAGAUAGUAGGCGGGGUAACGGCCCACCUAGUCUUCGAUGGAUAGGGGUUCUGAGAGGAAGGUCCCCCACAUUGGAACUGAGACACGGUCCAAACUCCUACGGGAGGCAGCAGUGAGGAAUAUUGGUCAAUGGGCGAGAGCCUGAACCAGCCAAGUAGCGUGAAGGAUGACUGCCCUAUGGGUUGUAAACUUCUUUUAUAAAGGAAUAAAGUCGGGUAUGUAUACCCGUUUGCAUGUACUUUAUGAAUAAGGAUCGGCUAACUCCGUGCCAGCAGCCGCGGUAAUACGGAGGAUCCGAGCGUUAUCCGGAUUUAUUGGGUUUAAAGGGAGCGUAGAUGGAUGUUUAAGUCAGUUGUGAAAGUUUGCGGCUCAACCGUAAAAUUGCAGUUGAUACUGGAUAUCUUGAGUGCAGUUGAGGCAGGCGGAAUUCGUGGUGUAGCGGUGAAAUGCUUAGAUAUCACGAAGAACUCCGAUUGCGAAGGCAGCCUGCUAAGCUGCAACUGACAUUGAGGCUCGAAAGUGUGGGUAUCAAACAGGAUUAGAUACCCUGGUAGUCCACACGGUAAACGAUGAAUACUCGCUGUUUGCGAUAUACUGCAAGCGGCCAAGCGAAAGCGUUAAGUAUUCCACCUGGGGAGUACGCCGGCAACGGUGAAACUCAAAGGAAUUGACGGGGGCCCGCACAAGCGGUGGAGUAUGUGGUUUAAUUCGAAGCAACGCGAAGAACCUUACCAGGUCUUGACAUCCGGAUAAAGACCUCAGAGAUGAGGGGAUAGAUAUAUCCGAGACAGGUGGUGCAUGGUUGUCGUCAGCUCGUGUCGUGAGAUGUUGGGUUAAGUCCCGCAACGAGCGCAACCCCUGUACUUAGUUGCCAGCAUGUAGAGAUGGGAACUCUAAGUAGACUGCCGCGAAUAACGCGGAGGAAGGUGGGGAUGACGUCAAAUCAUCAUGCCCUUUAUGACUUGGGCUACACACGUACUACAAUGGCGUUAAACAAAGAGAAGCAAGACCGCGAGGUGGAGCAAAACUCAGAAACAACGUCCCAGUUCGGACUGCAGGCUGCAACUCGCCUGCACGAAGUCGGAAUUGCUAGUAAUCGUGGAUCAGCAUGCCACGGUGAAUACGUUCCCGGGCCUUGUACACACCGCCCGUCACACCAUGAGAGCCGGGGGGACCCGAAGUCGGUAGUCUAACCGCAAGGAGGACGCCGCCGAAGGUAAAACUGGUGAUUGGGGUG
rnacentral:rRNA from 1 species